UUAUUUGGUUUACAGGUCACAGUCCAUCCUCAAGGGAUGUCAAGGUAGGAGCUCAAGAUUCAAGACUCAAAGUACCAAGCUGGAGUAAAGUUCACUCUAUAAAGACUAGAGCAGAGCUCUAGAUGACAGAGCGCUGACAGUGUAGAGUCACAGGAGGGGCUUAGUGAGAACAGACAAAGCCUAUUAUUCCAGGAACCAAUCCUCUGACAAGAGGGAUGACUUUUCUACCAGUAGCCAGCCUGUGCGCUUAGCCACAUAAUGAAACUACCUUUCCCAGUUGGCCUUGAAGUUCCUAACAGCCAGGAUUUGAAUCUUGCCCAGUGGAGUCUAAUCUGGGUCUCUAAGUUCCAAGUGUUUGCAUUCCUUACACUGAGAUUCAUCUGCUGAAGUCAAAAUCUCCAGUGUGAUGCCAACAGAAGGUGGAACCUUAUGGAAGGCAAGCAAGCUGAGGAACCCAUGAAGAGCAAGUCGGAAAGUAUCUUUUGAUACAGAAGCCAGAAAUUCUUCCACGGUUGCUGCCUCUGUUCCUGCUUGAGUUCCUGCCCCGAUUUCCCUCAGGAAGGGCUCUGUAAUCACGAUGUGUAAAGCAAGCAACCCCAUUUCUCUCCAGUUUAAACCACCACCACCACAACAAAAUAUUUGGCAUAGCGGUAGAAAGCCGGCCAAUCCAGUGAUGCAUCCAGAGAGGACAAAGAGGGACACCCCCUCUUCUCCACAUCUCACAGUGUUCAGUUCCGUAGGCCCUGUUACAACAAAGGCUGCUCUCACAACAGAAAGUACAAGUAGGUGGUCAACUUCAGUGGCAGCUAGCUGUACAGUACCAUCUCAGCGGGCACACAAGAUAAACAAGUCUUCAGGGCAUGGCUACCUUCACCUGAAUGCCAAAGAAUGGCCAAGGGUGUCUCAGGACCCAGAAAGGGAACAGUGAAGGUGUAGACUUAAUUAGAGUCACACAGCCCACUCAGAUCAUGUCCAGUGGAGCCAUGGGCUCCAUGAGACCUCAGGACAGAAGGGCCAUUAGCGUAUCAUCCCACUGUGAAAGCUACAGGCAUACAAUAUCAACAGAGCCACAAAAAUCAACCCUGGGCGCAAGCCCACCAACCAAGAAGCUCUAGAAGGUGUGCCCUCUACUCUGGUGAUCCCAAGAGGCAGAGCCUUGAGACAAAGAUUGUUUUCCAGGUGAAAGACUUUGGACCUUCUGAGAAUGCUUGACUCCUGCCUUCUUGUCUGCUUCUCCCUUUGGACUGGGAAUGCCCAGCUCUUGACUGUCCUGUAAGUGUAGUCAGGACACCUAUAAAAUGUCUGGUUCCAUGGGUUCACAGCUGGAAAGCAAUGCACCCCAGGAUAAACAGCACCUCGUACUGUUAUCCAUGGCUGAUUAAGUGAUACUGAGAAAAGACCUCGGAUGGCUGGAAUGUGGGUCUGGAGUGCCUGUCACUGGACUGUUGCAAUCCUAACCUCAAGUGGACGAUAGGAGGAAUAAUGGGUCUCUUCUGGGAAGUGACGGAGAGUAGAGACAUCAUCCAUGAGAUCAGUAGAUGAUCAAAGGCCUGGAGCUGCUUGGUCACUUCCACUGUGUGCAGACACAGUGCAAAAGGAACUGUUUGUACACCAUGAAUUAACUUCUCACCAGCCAUGGAAUCUGACAGCACUGUGAUUUGACAUCCCAGCUGACAAAUCGAUCAGAAAUAAAUUCCCAUUUCUAAGCCACUCAGCCUAUUGGAUUUGGGAUUAUAGCAGCCCAAAGUGAUAUAAGACUGUCCCUGCUCCCUCCUCUGAAUGCUUGGCAGGUCACCCCACUACCAAC
rnacentral:lncRNA from 1 species